CACCUCUUGACGCAGUGGUAUCGCGUUCUACUCUCGAUCGAACUGUUGGGCGUUCGAUCCGCUCAGUGGUGA
rnacentral:tRNA from 1 species